CUUAAUAAUGCACCGUUUACUAACCUUUCAUCUAUUAUAAUUUUUUUUCUUCUUUUUAAACCUUAAGUUAGCUAAGAUUCUUGCAUGCAUUGCAUUGCGCAACAUAUAUGACACCCGUUUUCCCUCCAACCACUUCAUAUUUCAGAAGUUGUACUGAGCAGCCAUAUAUAACCCUCUAUCAACAAGUACGUACGUACUGAUCAAAGUGCAAAAUACAGGGGGGAAAAAAAACCAACAAGAAGAAGAAGAAGAAGAAGAAAGGGAUCGAUGGCAGCAGUACUCGAUCGAUCUUCAAUCUCCGUGCGUUUUUGUAUUUGACAAAGGUGAUGCCAGUGGAAGUCGUGGUUUUUAAAGGUGGUUCGAGCUGGAGGUGAUAAAUCACGGCCCCUACGUCUGCCCUCCCUAAUUUCUUUUUACCACUGCAGCAGCAGUACUUGUGAUCGAAGUGUGCAAGAUAGUAUACCAAUUAUUGAUCGUGCACGCCAAAAUCAGCCACCUACUUUUGAACGGUACUGCAUGUUAAGUCUCCGAUCGAAGCUACGCAUGUACGCACACGUGAUGAUGCAUGUUUUAUUGUGGGGGAACAUACUCUUUUAAAUAAGGGAUUGAUUAGAAGGCAACAAAAUCAAGCAUUGUUAUCUACUUGGAAAUUAAGCCACAGAAUCUCCAUAAUAAUUUAUAUAUCCUCUGCAUGAAUACUCUACCCAUUUAUUUUGGUGAG